rnacentral:tRNA from 1 species
GAGCCCGUAGCGCAGCCUGGAUAGCGCGACUGCCUCCUAAGCAGUAGGUCGUGAGUUCAAAUCUCAUCGGGCUCG